AUUUUAAAAACAUAUGUUGAACAACAUUGUUUAUUUUCUCCAGUUUUAUGGGUAAAAGAACCAUCUCAACAUCCUAGGACUACUAAUGCCGCAAAAAGUUUUCAUCGGACUUUUAACAGACAGUUUUAUUGCACACGUCCACCUAUAUACGCUGUCAUACAGACUUUACUCGAAACCCAGGAAGAAACGUCUUUAAAACUCAAUACCAUUCAACAGGGUACUGUUCAAAAGGCAUCAAAAGUAGAAGAAGAAAAAAUUG